CUGCAGUAAAUUAUGUCGACUGUGACAUUCUCCCCACAGCCUGGUGUACAGUGGCUACAAAUAGCAGCCUCCUUGGUAGUGUCCGCAGCCUGUUGCUUGUAUAGGUUGCCCUAAAGGACCUUGGAAAGAGUC
rfam:Erinaceus europaeus unplaced genomic scaffold scaffold00025, whole genome shotgun sequence